CAAGAGAGCAGAAGCAGGAAGAGAGCCGGCUGGAAGACACCUACCCUGGCCGGAAGGCACCUACCCCUGAAGAUCAAGAAAGAGGCCAUCCAGCAAGGCAAGGUACUUCUAUAAAAGACUGAGCCCUUACAGAUGGAGCAAUGGGCCACUCUCCAGCCUGCUCAGCAUAAACUGGACCCCUACCCUCAAGCUUCUGCUUGGUUUUGGUGGAGGUCUGAUGCUUGUUGAUUCUCUCUCAAUCAUUAACACAGAAGAAGGCUUCUGUGACCAAGUGUGUGGGGAUUUCUUCCCACCACCAAAGGAGCAAUUAAUUCUGCAGUGAACACCGGCGGGAUGUUCUCCAAAUCAAUUUCAACACUACCUACCUGGAGGCAGAUCCCACAGGUUGAGGGCUCAGGGGAAACCAACAUGAACAUGGACAUCAUGCUGUUUCCUGUGCCAUAAGUGAUAAAGUCCUUUGCCUCUGAUCCAGAAGUCUUGUGUCUUCUGUCAGCAUCCAUGAAACUGAGGCAGGCUAACUUGUUGGCUUUCAAGGGAAGGCAAAAAUCUCAGUCCCUUCACUGUUCUUGACAAUUAUAAAGUAAAAAACAUGCAGUCAUAUUUAAAGAAGCACAAUUUGGCAGC